UCCCUGGUGGCUCAGACGGUAAAGAAUCUGCCUGCAAUGCAGAUGAUCCAGGUUUGAUCCCUGGCCCUGGGU
rnacentral:tRNA from 1 species